UAACUUAAUAUACAGACUCCACUAGUCAACAUUACAAAACAAUGGCGGCUCAGAAUUGAACUUUGAAGGCUCAUAUUCAGCUUCAGCCUUCGUUGUCUUGGCAUUGGCAGUUUGAAUUGAAGAAGUUUCCGAAUGCAGUUUAAAGUUGAGUAUCCGAGGAGAAGAUUACCAGUUAUGCACUUCCUUAUGAACAAAAUGGGUUGGCUGUCGCGAGAUAUUUCCAAAUUGCCAAGUUCUCAAUUACAGCUUGGAGAAGAGGGUUGCUCCCAGGUGUUUGGUUAUUCAGGUUCUGCUUUCCAAAGGAUUGAUCAAAGAAUAUAUACCAUAGCACUUACUAAGAAUUGGGGAGAGCAAAUUUAUUGAGAAUAUGUAACCAAAUUUCAAGAAGAAGUUCCUGAGUUAUUUGAUGUAUAUCAGGGCAAAAUCCAUCUUCUGGAUGCCUCCUCUGGAUUUCAGAGGCAUGUGAAAUGAACAGGUUUAACUUUUGAUGUUCAAUAUAAAACUUUUUGUUUUUUA